UUCACCAAUGCCUUUCUUUCCAUUCAACCUUUUUUCUUUCCCUUUCUUAAAUAGUUAUACUUUUCAUCUCCUAAGGCCAACCUUUCCUUUUAAAGUAACCUUUUCUUCCUUUCCUAUGGUCUAAUGAAUUUUUAACUAAAACAAUAGUGCGUAGGUGUAGGGACUCUAAGGGCCGGGGAGGAAAGCGAGGAGGCAAUUGGUGAUUGUUGUUGACAGAAGAUAGAGAGCACAGAUGAUGGUGUGCAAUUAGGAGUCUUGAAGCAAUGCAUCCCACUCCUUUGUGCUCUUUAUGCUUCUGUCAUCACCUUCAAGCCACUCUUACCUUUUCUUCUCACCCUAUUUUCUUCCUUUUACUUCUAACAUUCAUUCUUUACUCAUUAUAAAUUUUCUCUUGCUAUGUUCAUCACUAAAGGCUAAACACAACCUCUAAUUUUCCUAACUCACUUCUUAAUUUCAUCUCUGUUGUGUCAUUUAUGAGGAAAACUAGUGUCUAUAUAGUUAGAGCAGUAACCCUAAGUUGUGGCAUAUUGGCAAGGUGUUCACCUUUCCUAGGAAUAUCCUGAAUUCGAAUCAUAAUUUCCUUCGGUAGGGAGGGAGGCUUUUGUUCAUUAGGCUUUCAAAACUUGGUUGAAAUUGUUUGAGGGGACUUGAGAAAUCCAACUUGGUUUAGUUGUAAUUGGUAAUGGAUAGUUCAUGAUAUUGACCAUUGAGGAUCAAGGGAAGUUCCUUCACUCUUCUAGCCAGUCAAACAUUUUGAUGUUAUGCCUUAGUUAUUUAUGGUCAAAUUGAUUCCUAAUGUACCACUUGCGUUGUGGGGUCAAAGGGUUAUUCUUGAAUAUUGCUGAUUUUGAAAGUAAUGUGUAGGGAUUUAUAUUAUUAGACAAUUAAUACAUCACAUUGCAACCUUUUUAAAGUUUUGCUAUUAGACAAUUUUUUUAGGGAUAUAACUCAUUGUCAAGGGACCAAUUCUAACAACAAAUCAAGUUGAUUGUCUGAAAGGUUUCAAAAAAAGCAACAAUUGAUUGACAACUUUGAUGGAUGCAACCAACUAUAAGUAAUCAAGAUCUAUUGCUUGCAAGUAUCCAUCCAUUUGAAAGUUUUCUGUUAUCUAUGAACUAUACAACUUGAGAGAAAACUAUUGAAUGAUAUCAGAGAUAUCUGACAGUUAUUUUUCAUUUUGGGCUCCGUAAAAAAAAACCUUUAUCAACCCAUAUGCAAGGGUCCCUCAAAAGCAUGGAACCAUGAAAUGUUAGAUGUGACACACACGCGCAGAUAUUUAGUAGCUUAAACUUAUUGAUUAUUAACUCUUUUUUACCUGUUAGAGUUUAUUGAACAUUUUACUAAGUCCGAGUUUGAGAGAAAUUAUGAUAUUAGAGAGGCCUUUGAAUUGGACCAUAUUCCACAAAGGAGAAGGCCGAAGUUUUUAUAUAUUGACCUCCAAUGCUAUUACAUCCUGAAUAUAUAAACUAAAAUCAAUUUCCACAUUGUAUAGACUUAUAACUAAGUUUAUCCUCGUUAUUUCUUGUCUAAUUUAUUAUGGAAAAUUUCCUAUUAAGUUUGACAUCAAAUUAAAGAUAUAAUGUAGCUUCCAUUAAUUGUAUCUCUUUUUUCCCCACUUCACCACUAAAAGAAAAAAUACAGGCAACAUUUUCAGCAAGCAAUUGAUAAUUAAAGCUGCAAUCUACAUUAUCCCACUCUCAAUGCGAUUUGUAUCUAGCCUUGCUACUUUUCAAACCUCCUUUCCAAAAAAGAAAAAAAAAACACUAAUAAGUCUAAAUAGAGAAUGAAAAUAAAGUUUUUGAAAUUUGUAAAGGUUGAAGUUCCUCAGUUAAUGUUUGUUAAGUUAUAACUUAAUAAACUUCUUUUUUUAAUACAAAGCCUAAGAGACAACUUGAAACUGGAAUAAUAAAUAAUAAAUACAUGUAAUUAUUUACGUAGUUUGAAUUUAAUUCUACGUCCAUAAGGCCUUCUCGAGAAAAAAAAUUCACUAUAAUCUUCACCAUAUAAGGGAUGAUUUAAGCUUAACCACUAAAAAAUGUUGCAACCUCACUCCCCUACAAUUAUAAUGAAGAGAUCUCUCUAUUAAGACUUUUUCCUGUGAAAGCUUAGAAUAAACUGCAAAAGCAAUUUAAUUAUAUAAAGAUUUGCACUACAAAGGUUCUCAUAUAAAUUGAUAAGUGUACACUUAAUUUCACAUGUUUGAGCAUAAAACAUAUCCUCGAUAAAUAAGCAUUGUAGUUCUAAUAAAACACUAAAAUCAACUAGUAUGAUCAAAUCAAAUCUUUAGAAUUUCAUCCCAUAUCAAACAUAUUUAAGGUCUUUAUAUAGAUGUUAAAAACACUUUAUAUUAAUAUUAGAUAAAUAAGAUGAUUAUUCAAAUCCUUCCUAGUAACAAAUUUGUUAUAUAUGGAAGAUAAUCAAAAUUCCAUAUACUAGCUUCCUUUCAUUAAAGGUUUCUCUCUUGAUUAGUUGUGUAGGAUCACAUAAAAAGUUGUAUAAGAAUCCAAUAAUUUAUCGCCAUAACAUAUGAAAUUACCAAUAAAAAAUAAACAAGUUUAACGAAAAUUAAUAUUAUGAUGAAUUGCAACUAAAUUUCGUGACUUGUAAGUUGUUGUAGUGAGUUGCACCUUAGUUUAUGACUUGUCACACCAACAAUCUCCCUUGUUUUGCAUUUUUUUUGCCAAAAACUGCAGUAAAUUCCUUAAGAAAAAGAACAAAAGGAAACAAGGACCCCAUUAUUCAACCAUUAGCAUAACACCACAUCACAUCUAUUCAAAACAUCACAUCUAUUCAAAAUAGCCAUGAAAAUAACUAAUCAAAUCUCCAUUAGGUUUAAUGCAAAAACACUAACAAAUUCAGGUAAAUAAUAACUUUAAAUAACCAUCAACAUAUAGAAUAAACAAAGUGCAACAAGACAAACCAAAUACAACCAAGAAAUAUAAUAAACUCCUGGUUAUUGAUCUCCUGGGUAAUGUAAUAUCCAACAGUAAACUCCGAAAAUUUCUUUAUAGCCUAGUCAUCAAACCAAUAUCCAACCACCUUACUUUUGCACUUCCUAAGAAGCUUGAUCUACUUGUCGAUGAUGUCAAUUUCACCAUCCAAAUGCUUAAGAAGUCAAUUGCAUUGAGAAAGAGUUAUAUUAGUAGUUGCAACUAGAGGAACAACUUCAAACUAAGAGAUAAAGUUAGAAUCUUCUUUUGAGUUGGAGACAUUAACACUAUUCUUUUUUUUUCCAAUCACUGGAGAAUUUGAUUUCAAAUUGAUCAUCUUCAUAGAAGUUUCUAAUUUAUUAAAAGUUGAAAAAUAAAGUAUGGAAAGGGUGGCCUUUUGUGUUUGUUCUUGAUCUUAGCAUGUUUCACAAUUUGAUCAAUUAUAAUAGAUCCUAAAUCAAAAUAGACCAUGGUAGCUACAUUACGAACUAAGACUCUCAUCUUUUUAUUGACAAUGUGAAGAAAGUGGGUUUCUAAUAGUAAUGUUUUGCAAGUUUACAAGUUCUAAACUCUUGCCCUUUAAGCCAACCUUUUGUAGGACUACCGAUCAAAUUCUAGCAAGGUCAUCAUAAUUUGCUUCAUAAUCUAUUUGUGAUCCUGGAUGUUUAAAGAUUAUGUUAAUAAAUAGUUGGUUUAAAUUUAAAGUAGUGACCAUGAACAUAUGCCUUCAUAUCAAACUUUGAAUUUUGAUCAUUGGUAGACUUUUGAAAAUUUGAAGGAAACUUCAAAGCAGUUGCCUUAACACAAGGCUUUACAAAUUCCACAAUGAAUCAUAGAUUUUGAGGGUAAAGAAUUCUAUCAA